rnacentral:tRNA from 1 species
GGGCCGGUGGUCUAGCCUGGUUAUGACGCCGCCCUCACACGGCGGAGGUCGGCGGUUCAAAUCCGCCCCGGCCCA